UUCGGNAGGCUUAACACAUGCAAGUCGGAGGAGAAGCAAGGCUUCGGUUUUGUGGACACUGGCGCACGGGUGAGUAACGCGUGGGAACCUACCUAUCAGUACGGAACAACUCAGGGAAACUUGUGCUAAUACCGUAUACGUCCUUCGGGAGAAAGAUUUAUCGCUGAUAGAUGGGCCCGCGUUAGAUUAGCUAGUUGGUGAGGUAACGGCUCACCAAGGCGACGAUCUAUAGCUGGUCUGAGAGGAUGAUCAGCCACACUGGGACUGAGACACGGCCCAGACUCCUACGGGAGGCAGCAGUGGGGAAUAUUGGACAAUGGGCGAAAGCCUGAUCCAGCCAUGCCGCGUGAGUGAUGAAGGCCCUAGGGUUGUAAAGCUCUUUCAACGGUGAAGAUAAUGACGGUAGCCGUAGAAGAAGCCCCGGCUAACUUCGUGCCAGCAGCCGCGGUAAU
rnacentral:rRNA from 1 species